rnacentral:rRNA from 1 species
GACGAACCGAGCGAACGUUGUUCGGAAUCACUGGGCUUAAAGGGCGCGUAGGCGGGCUGUCAAGUCUGGGGGGAAAUCCCACGGCUCAACCGUGGAACUGCCUUAGAUACUGACGGCCUCGAGGGAGAUAGGGGCGAGCGGAACUGUGAGUGGAGCGGUGAAAUGCGUUGAUAUUCACAGGAACUCCGGUGGCGAAGGCGGCUCGCUGGAUCUUUUCUGACGCUGAGGCGCGAAAGCUAGGGGAGCAAACGGG